rnacentral:lncRNA from 1 species
GAACGCCUCUGAACUGGAAGUUUAAAAAUGGUUAAAACGGGGCCGGGCGGAGUGGCUCUCGCCUGUAAUCCCAGCAAGUUGGGAGGCCGAGGCGGGCGGAUCGCUUGAGGUCGGGAGUUCGAGACUAGCCUGUCCAACAUGGUGAAACCCGGUCUCUACUCAAAUACAAAAAUUAGCCGGGUGUGGUGGUGCACACCUGUAAUUCCAGCUACUCAGGAGGCUGAAGCAGGAGAAUCACUUGAGCCGGGAGGCAGAGGUUGCAGUGAGCCGAGAUCGCGCCACUGCACUCCCGCCUGGGCGACAGAGCGAGACUGUCUCAAAAAUAAGAAGUUAAAAUGGGCCAGGCGCGCGCGCGCCCCUGUAGCCCCAACGCUUUGAGGCUGAGGCGGGAGGAUCUCGAACCCAGGACUUCGCGCCACUGCACUCCAACCUGAACGAGUGAGCGGACCCUGUCUCAUAAAAAAAGAAAAAAGAAAACACACAAGAUGCGCCUAGUUAACACCGCCAAUUGGUCACUGCUAGUCGCGAUUCCAUAUCGGGAGCUUAACAAGGUAAUGACCUUAAUGAUUUGUGGAAUUUCUGAGUAUUACCCAGUAAACUUCUGGAUGAACCAGCAGCUACCCAGACACCCUCAGAGCACUGGUCCUAUCCCUGCCGUGUUAAACUGAAUGUGCACCCUAACUCCCAUGUGAAAUCCUCACCCCAAGGCGUUGGUGCUUCGGAGGUGACUAGGUCAUGAGGACAGAGCCUUCAUAAAAGGGACCCCAAGAGCUUUGUGCAGCUUUCUACUGUGUGAAGGCAGCGGGAAGGAAGUCUGCAGUCUGGAAGAAACCCCUUACCAGAACCUCAGCGUGCUGGGCACCCUGAUUUUGGAGGUUGUGACGUACCCCUGCUUCCCCUUUCCACUUUCAUUCCCAGUGCUGACUGAGAAACAGAGUCCCUUGGCCACUCUGUGACUUCGCCAACUGUAUAAUUUCCUCUGCAGACUUGAACCCGAGCCAUAGCCAUGAACGUUCCCAGGCACAGAUGACAGUAACUAGGUUGUUGCUCAAAACACAGAAAGAAACUGGACUCAGCCUGAGCCAGAUUCCUCAAACCCUCAUAUAAAUUCCAUUCACCAACCCCCUCCCCCACGGACAUA